CAUAGCCACGGUAAUACAGAGGGUGCGAGCGUUAAUCGGAUUUACUGGGCGUAAAGCGUGCGUAGGCGGCUUUUUAAGUCGGAUGUGAAAUCCCUGAGCUUAACUUAGGAAUUGCAUUCGAUACUGGGAAGCUAGAGUAUGGGAGAGGAUGGUAGAAUUCCAGGUGUAGCGGUGAAAUGCGUAGAGAUCUGGAGGAAUACCGAUGGCGAAGGCAGCCAUCUGGCCUAAUACUGACGCUGAGGUACGAAAGCAUGGGGAGCAAACAGGAUUAGAUACCCCGGUAGUCCCUGUCUCUUAUACA
rnacentral:rRNA from 1 species